CAUGGAUUUUGUUCUACAUGGGGGAUGUUGGAACCAAACCCCAGCGUAUAACAAGGGCCCACUGUAUUUCUUCCAUUCUGUGCUGCCAUGAACAGAAUCACUGUUUAGUCUUUUUCUGACCACUGGGUCAGGAAGACUCCCAUCAGAUAAAACAGCAAUGGCCUUCAGAUCCUUGAAUAUUACUCUUGUUUUGUUUUGUUUUGUUUUGUUUUUUUGUGACAGUAGAAGACACACUGGUCCUUGCAGAAAUUUUUGGUAGGAUGACCACUGCUGAGUGGAGUAUUCAUCUUGAACCUUCUGCAUUUUUUGAUUACCUGACAAAGUUUCUAUUCGUUUUAGAUGGUGGGUCCUCCCAAAUUCACCCUUGAAGAGUUACCAGCACAAUUCAGCACUUAAUUCAGUUAAUUUCCUUUAAUGGAGUUGAUGCAACAAAUGUUUCCCUUACAACUCUUAUGUAUUCAUCACAUAUUUUACACAAUGUUUUACUUCACAAAGCACAAAAUUGGUUAAUAUAAACGAUUGGAUAGUUAUGAACGGAUUUGGAUUGAUUCAUGUAGGCUUUCACUGUAAAACUAUGGCAUUGCCAUAAUUAUCAUCAGAUUUCACAAACUCUUUCUCACCAAUGUAAAAACAAAGUGAACAUUUUGCUUCCCAGAUAAGUUACAACAACAACAAAAAAAGUUUCCUGGGUGGUGUCACUUAGUGUCUUCUAGGAAUAAAUAAUUCAAAAAGCAACAGUGUAGGACAUGAAUAAAGAUAAAGUUUGGUAUGUUUAUCUUGGAAGCCUUUCCCACCUCUAUUGUUGGCUACUGCUUUCUCCCCUGGAAGCUAAUCCCCUAGACAAAGAAACUAGGCUAGGCUACACAGUGAAGAAAACCCCUAACCUUGACUGACUCCUACGGGUCAUUUUUCCCAAUGGAAAACUCCUGCUACACAAAGAUAUUAAGCUGACAUGAAGCCAUGCUCUUGAGACAGGAUUCUGACACCCAACUGUUACUUGACGUUUUCUGUUUUGCUAAUUUAAAUUCCUGUUUUAUAAGCAUGUGAUGUUAUGGAAAUCUGAAAUUAAAUCACAGAAAAUUAGAGCUGGCAAAGUUGCUUCUGGAAAGUUAGAAUUCCAUUAAACAUUUUGGAAAACCUAUCAAUACAAUAUAGAGAACAGUUAGCCCUAUUUUGUCUACAAGUCCAUCAUGGUACAGAAACUAGCCCAUGUGAAUUUUAUAGUUAACAAACUGUUCAUUCCACUUAAAAUAUUCUAGUUGUUAUGUGACCCUGAAAGUUGGUAUAUGAAAAUAGUUGUGCUGCUAUGAAAGGAGUUGCCAUAUGGACUUGGAAAUAUAAAGGAUAUGUUAAGGAAGUCCAUAUUCCAUAAUAUUCCUGUUAAUAGAAUCUAUGUCCUACAUUAUCUAAAAUUGCAGGUAUGCUUUCAUUGGGAUGAGACUUCUGUAUUUUUUUUCUCUCUCAGAGCAGUGUGGUUAUGAGAGAGAUUGCCAAGAAAUUAAAAGCAUGGUCAUUAAAAGCAAUGAACCAGGUAUAUGUUUUAGAGAAAUAAAGCUUGGGCUGCAGCCAUCUUUUCCUUCUCCCCCCUCAUCAGGCUCCUCCAGGAAUUUCUGGAAGCACAGAAGCUCAAUCCCCUUGUAUCUUCAAAGAGAGAACUACACUGCUUGGGAUAAAACAUAGUAAAAAUAAUUAAAAGGAGAAUAAAAUGGCAUUAUUCACAGUUCUCUACUAGUUCUCAAAUUUCUAUGAAUUCUAUAUAAAAAUCCCCCUUGCACUUCCACAUAAAUGGCAAGGGGGAUGCUAACACAUUUAAAGUAAUGUCAAAUGUGUUGUUUGUGUGUGUGUGUUUAGUAUGGAGAUGUCACGAAGAGCUGGAUGCUGUGUCCUUUAUAAAUCUGGUUUGCCUGUCUUCUCAGCAUGCCAUAUUGGAGAGAUUUUGCUACCAUUAGUGCUUGCCUGUGUGGGCAUUUUGGUACUCCAAAGACUAGGAACUGCCAGUGGCCUGGAAAUGCAACUACAUCAACUGGUGGUCCAGCGCUGGUUGAAUCAGUUCUCAGUAAAUGCAGUGGCAGGAGCUGUUCCAGUUGCUCUACACAAAAGGGUCAUCAUAUAUCAGAAAAGGUUUGAAGGCAUACAACAACAACAACAGCAACAAUGGAAGACAGUCUGCAUUUAUCUUACUAUUUUACAGAUUCUAAUUUUUCUAGAAAACAGUAAGGCUCAACUCUGCAUUGUGAUCUGAUCCUCUGUGCUAACCACCUGUCAUUAACCAAUAUAUAAUACAGCUCCUGUCUUCUGCAGUUCUAUUUGUGCUUUGACAAUAAUACUCUGAAAUUGAGGGAUCGGGUGGUUUUACUUACACCUUACGCAUUACAAUAAAGAAUGGGCUGUCUCACUGUGUUUUCAGACAGAAUAGCAUAUGGCUAAGGAAUAUGCUAUUUAGCUUAAAAUUGGGGCAUAUGGUGCUUUCAGCAUCUGACUUCUGCAAUGCUCAUAUUACAUUGACAGCAUGACAAGGAUGCAUUUUUGGAUGUGUUGAUAUUCUAGAUCUUCAGUUCAUCUCUCUGUGUGUUAUUGUUGUUGUUUUACUUUUAUGGGUAUAGGGAAUGAAUUAAUCUUCCUAGAAUUUCACUAAAGGAUAUAUUUGGACAUACAAAUAUACCUCAGUUAAUGAUGUACACAUGUUUCUGGGCAUUACUUCUUUAACAGAAAUUUUGGUGCCAGAGGCAGAAAUAACAUAGAAAGAAUAAGGAUAAGUUAUUGUAUCAGGAAAAAGAUAAGUGCCUAUAGCAAACUUUUUACUAACAGCUAACAUGCACAUGUGAAAUGAAACAAUCAGAUUAAGUAAAGCGUGCAUAAAUAAACCAAAACAUUUUGAACCUUUUAGAGACCACUCAAAGGCUGCAGGCAAGUACACACAGAUACAGUAAGACUGGCUACAGCAGAAUACUGUGCUUUCCCAGCUCAAGAUUAUUACAUUGUUUACUGAGUCCUGUGCCAGAAGAUAGGUGGGAUAUAUAGGUAAAUAGAAUAUAUAAAUACUGCAGACACCCUGCUACAAGCCAACACCAAAAGUCUGGAUUUCACCAGCCAUUCUUCACCACCUGCCCAGUGUGAAUGCUACUUUAAAAAGUCCAGCUAGGACAAGUAGCAAGUAUACUACAGGGCAAGUAUAGAAGCAAACAAAUGAACAUUAUGUUAGCUGGCAGUCUAACAUCAAAGAGGUUUCUAGUCUUUCUUUUUUUUGUAAGGUGCAUUGGGUUUCAUGUCAGGAGAAAGAUAGGAUAUAAAUAAAAGAGAUAAAUAGUUUUUUUUCUAUAUAUCAUAAAUGGUCUAGGAAGCAUAUUUUAGAUGAGCACAAAAGGGUUGAACCUGAACCUUGCAGUAUGGAAGCAGUGAUAACUGGAUGGCAACGUAAAUUUUGAGGAGGUGUGGCUGAAUCCCCAUUAGAAGUGGCUCUUGCCUAUACUUAUAGUUUUACAGGUUGAAAUUGUAGCCAGGCAGCACUUCCCACCUUCUCAAUCUGGAAAAACAAUUUGGGCAGCACUUUUUGUUCUAAUGAGGAUCUGUCAAAGUAUAUUAAUGUCUCUGUCAGAUUAAAACUGGACUACUGAAUGAGCUGUAGACCUGAACACGAGAACUGGUUUAAAGCUUUCACUGUUGAUGCAGAAUAUGGCACUGAUCUGUGACACCCCCUUUAAACCCAUUUUAGGGUUCUCCUUUAUCAUACUGGCUCCCUGUUCUUAUUUUGAGGGCAUAAUUCUAAGGAUUGUUUGUAAUCGUAAAAGGUUUAAUUAGCUUUUGUCUAAGCUUCUUUAAGUACCACUUUUUGUUACGAAGACACCCUGUUAAUGAUAACAUCUGCAGUAUAAUUUGUUCUUAUUUCAGGUUCAGAAAGCAAGGAUAGGGUCAGCUCAACUUUCUGCUCAACUUUCCCCCCUGUUAUAGACCUACUGAGCCUAAAGCCUGAGCACUACCUGCUUGUAUUAUAAGGCCAGCACUGGAUGAGGAAAUGAAUUUCACUUCUGAUCUUUUCCUUUGAAACCCCUCACCUAUUUAUCUAAAAUAAAUGUGAGAACUUUUAAAAAAUUGUAUGGAAAAGGCCAAAGUUGUAAAGGUAGUAAAACCAUAGUGAAAUCUCCCAGCACCUAAAUCAGUGCUCUUUUCAGACCAGGGACUCCCUUGGAAUCAAAGGCUGCAGCAUGAGCCAGUAUGGUUUGAAUGCUGGACUACAAUUCUGGGAGACUAGUAGUCAAAUCCCUGUUCAACCACUGGGUGACUUUGGGCAAGUCACACUCUCCCAGCCUCAGAAGAAGGCAAAGACAAACCCUUUCUGAAUAAAUCUUGCCAAGAAAACCCCAGGAUAGGGUUGCCAUAAGUCAGUCAUUUUAAAGGCACAUAACAAUAACAUAAAAUCAAAAUCCCAAGCACUUAGUGUACAGAUCCCAUGUAUCCAGGGGCAGGGGGAAUAGCUGAUUUGGAAAUGUUGUCCUUUUUUGGACUACAGUUCCAAGAAUCUGCAAUCCAGCAUGGUCAGCAACCAUACUGGCUGAAGGAUCUGCAAAGUGUAAUAUUCAAAAAUAACAUUUCUAAGCUCAGGCUGCAGGGAGUACACUUUUUAAAGAAAAGCUAUGUUAAAAUGACAUCUCAAUCAUUCACCAUCAGACAAUAAAUCCAUACUCAAUAUUAACUUCCAGUCAACACUGAUCAUUCUUAUGCCAUCUGUACUUCAGCUGUGUCACAAACACAAAAGAACUAAAAGUAUAUCAUUAAUGAAUGCAGCUAUGUGUCGCUCUGUUAAAUAUGUGCAGGUCUAUGUAAAAGCAAUACCUCCCACAAAUGACUAAGACAAAGCUGGUUGUAUUUCAGUCCGAAAAGGAAAUGGGAUCUAGCAGCACAUUUAAGACUGAUUUAUUUUAACAGAAACUUCCAGGUAUUUCAAUUCAAUUCCUCACAGAGAUGUCUCUAAGGAACAUGGGGGGUGCAGAGCACAGUGGGUGACACCCAGUAGGGUGUACACCCAGAAGGACUGGUGUGGCUACUGGGUGAGAGAGAAAGGGUGUUGCUUCUCUUUCCUGAUCAUCCAACAGUUACGUCGGACCCCGAAUGGUGGCUCCAGAGGCAGCAGUGCCCCCCGCGUCAGUGGUUUGGACAGCCAGAGGUCUGGCAGGGAGGGAGGGCAAGGCAGUUGCGCUCCCCAUCGGGCGACACCACCCUUAGUGAUACCACUACUUCCUCACAUCCAUUAAUAACUCCAAUCUGUACUCCCUCAAUGCAUUUGAGAAAAAAGCUAAAUACUGUAAAUCAGUUGGUCUUAAGAGUGCUGCCUCACUUUCCUUUUUCCUCACACAUGUGACCUGUAAUCUACUGAGGUUCCUAAAAGACAAAGAGAUGAUAAAAUAAAAGAUGAGAUUCAGA